UACGUAGGGGGCUAGCGUUGUCCGGAAUCAUUGGGCGUAAAGCGCGCGUAGGCGGCCUCGUAAGUCCGUUGUGAAAGUCAAAGGCUCAACCUUUGAAAGCCGAUGGAUACUGUGAGGCUAGAGUCCGGAAGAGGCGAGUGGAAUUCCUGGUGUAGCGGUGGAAUGCGCAGAUAUCAGGAGGAACACCAAUGGCGAAGGCAGCUCGCUGGGACGGUACUGACGCUGAGACGCGAAAGCGUGGGGAGCAAACAGG
rnacentral:rRNA from 1 species